rnacentral:rRNA from 1 species
AUUGAACGCUGGCGGCAGGCCUAACACAUGCAAGUCGAGCGGAUGAAGGGAGCUUGCUCCUGGAUUCAGCGGCGGACGGGUGAGUAAUGCCUAGGAAUCUGCCUGGCAGUGGGGGAUAACGUCCGGAAACGGGCGCUAAUACCGCAUACGUCCUGAGGGAGAAAGUGGGGGAUCUUCGGACCUUACGCUAUCAGAUGAGCCUAGGUCGGAUUAGCUAGUUGGUGGGGUAAAGGCCUACCAAGGCGACGAUCCGUAACUGGUCUGAGAGGAUGAUCAGUCACACUGGAACUGAACCACGGUCCAGGCUCCUACGGGAGGCAGCAGUGGGGAAUAUUGGACAAUGGGCGGAAGCCUGAUCCAGCCAUGGCGCGUGUGUGAAGAAGGUCUUCGGAUUGUAAAGCACUUUAAGUUGGGAGGAAGGGCAGUAAGUUAAUACCUUGCUGUUUUGACGUUACCAACAGAAUAAGCACCGGCUAACUUCGUG